UUAGAUGCACAACCCACGGAUAUAAUACCGAUUGAAUGCGAUGUUCCUUACUUUUGCACGUCUGGUACAUAAAAUAAAUGUGAAGAGCCAUUGCUAACAACCAAAACGCCAAUGGCAACAACCGAAUAGCCUAUGCCACAAAGGAAGAAAUCAUUUUCCAGGAGAAAAAGGCAUCCUUAACAGUGACUGAUUAUGCAGGCUGUUGAUUUGAUU
rnacentral:lncRNA from 1 species